UACGUAGGUGGCGAGCGUUACUCGGAAUCACUGGGCAUAAAGGGCGUGUAGGCGGGUUCGUAAGUCCGUUGUGAAAGCCCCCGGCUCAACCGGGGAAGGCCAGUGGAUACUGCGAGUCUUGAGUGCGGUAGGGGAGAGUGGAACUCUUGGUGGAGCGGUGAUAUGCGUAGAUAUCAAGAGGAACGCCGGUGGCGAAAGCGACUCUCUAGCCCGUAACUGACGCUGAGGCGCGAAAGCCAGGGGAGCAAAC
rnacentral:rRNA from 1 species